ACUGUCUUAUUAAAAGCGCAGAAGAGCUUCAGAAGAACAAACAAACAGACAAAUCUGGGGAGGGGGGGGCGGCCGGAAAGUGCCCAUAGACGUGACUGGGGGAAGCCACGAGAGAGAGCCGGGCUUGAGAAAGUUCCACCGAUCCACCUUCAUCCUCUCCUCCUCCUCCUCCUCCUCCUGCGGCCGUGGAGCCGCUGCUUUUCCCCGUGCCUGGGGAUCCCGACCCGCAGCAUCCUCGUAGGGAAGGGGGAAAAGCAUCGGAGCCCCCAAAAAAUGGGGGGGAAAGGGUGAUUUCUCGGUGCCGAGCUGCUCACCGGGGGUGGCCGAGAUCUCCUGGCCCCCGCUCCCCAAGGUCACGAAUGCAAAUGUAGCCUGCCGGCGGUGAAUGGGCUGAAUUGUGAUUAAGAAGAAGAAGAGCUCCUUUCUUUGUUCUCCCCUCAGGGGAUGUUUACUGGGAGAGACACAGCGGAUCAGAUAUGAAAGGCAUUCAGGUCAGCAUUGAUGUGAGCGAAAGUGAAAUCAUACCUAAGGCAUUCAAAAGACCGCCGUGUCAGGGGUUCAGCUAACGGUGCAUCUACUGUGUGUGUCUUCCCUGUUAGGCACAAAAAAAAAAAAAAAAAAAAAAAA